rnacentral:rRNA from 1 species
UUACGGGAGGCAGCAGUGAGGAAUUGUUCGCAAUGGGCGAAAGCCUGACGACGCAACGCCGCGUGGAGGAUGAAGAAUUUCGGUUCGUAAACUCCUUUCGACCGAGAUGAACACCCCGCAAUUUAAUACGUUGUGGGACUGACAGUAUCGAGAGAAGAAGCCCCGGCUAACUCUGUGCCAGCAGCCGCGGUAAUACAGGGGGGGCAAGCGUUGUUCGGAAUUACUGGGCGUAAAGGGUUCGUAGGUGGCCAACUAAGUCAGAUGUGAAAUCCCUCAGCUUAACUGGGGAACUGCUUCUGAUACUGGUUGGCUUGAGUGCAGGAGAGGAAUGCGGAAUUCCAGGUGUAGCGGUGAAAUGCGUAGAUAUCUGGAGGAACACCGGUGGCGAAGGCGGCAUUCUGGACUGUAACUGACACUGAGGAACGAAAGCCAGGGGAGCAAACGGGAUUAGAUACCCCGGUAGC